rnacentral:rRNA from 1 species
UAAGGAAUAUUGGUCAAUGGACGCAAGUCUGAACCAGCCAUGCCGCGUGAGGGAUGAAGGUCCUCUGGAUUGUAAACUUCUUUUAUCUGGGACGAAAACGGGAUUUUUAUCUCAAUUGACAGUACCAGAGGAAUAAGCACCGGCUAACUCCGUGCCAGCAGCCGCGGUAAUACGGAGGGUGCGAGCGUUAUCCGGAUUUACUGGGUUUAAAGGGUGCGUAGGUGGGCUUAUAAGUCAGUGGUGAAAUCUCCGAGCUUAACUUGGAAACUGCCGUUGAUACUAUAGGUCUUGAAUUAUCUGGAGGUAAGCGGAAUAUGUCAUGUAGCGGUGAAAUGCUUAGAUAUGACAUAGAACACCAAUUGCGAAGGCAGCUUACUACAUAUAAAUUGACGCUGAGGCACGAAAGCGUGGGGAUCAAACA